CAGUCGCCGCGGUAAAACGGAGGGUGCAAGCGUUAAUCGGAAUUACUGGGCGUAAAGCGCACGCAGGCGGUCUGACAAGUCAGAUGUGAAAUCCCCGGGCUUAACCUGGGAACUGCAUUUGAAACUGUCAGGCUGGAGUCUUGUAGAGGGGGGUGGAAUUCCAGGUGUAGCGGUGAAAUGCGUAGAGAUCUGGAGGAAUACCGGUGGCGAAGGCGGCCCCCUGGACAAAGACUGACGCUCAGGUGCGAAAGCGUGGGGAGCAAACAGGAUUAGAGACCCCAGUAGUCCCUGUCUCUUAUAA
rnacentral:rRNA from 1 species